CCUACGGGUGGCAGCAGUGAGGAAUAUUGGUCAAUGGACGCAAGUCUGAACCAGCCAUGCCGCGUGCAGGAAGACGGCUCUAUGAGUUGUAAACUGCUUUUGUACGAGGGUAAACGCAGAUACGCGUAUCUGUCUGAAAGUAUCGUACGAAUAAGGCUCGGCUCACUCCGUGCCAGCAGCCGCGGUAAUACGGAGGAUUCAAGCGUUAUCCGGAUUUAUUGGGUUUAAAGGGUGCGUAGGCGGUCGGAGAAGUUCGAGGUGAAAUCCCGAGGCUCAACGUCGGAAUUGCCUCUGAUACUGUUCGGCGAGAGAGUAGUUGCGGUAGGCGGAAUGUAUGGUGUAGCGGUGAAAUGCUUAGAGAUCAUACAGAACACCGAUUGCGAAGGCAGCUUACCAAGCUACUUCUGACGUUGAGGCACGAAAGCGUGGGGAGCAAACAGGAUUAGAUACCCGAGUAGUC
rnacentral:rRNA from 1 species